AGUGAACGCUGGCGGUAGGCCUAACACAUGCAAGUCGAACGGCAGCACAGUAAGAGCUUGCUCUUACGGGUGGCGAGUGGCGGACGGGUGAGGAAUACAUCGGAAUCUACUUUUUCGUGGGGGAUAACGUAGGGAAACUUACGCUAAUACCGCAUACGACCUACGGGUGAAAGCAGGGGAUCUUCGGACCUUGCGCGAUUGAAUGAGCCGAUGUCGGAUUAGCUAGUUGGCGGGGUAAAGGCCCACCAAGGCGACGAUCCGUAGCUGGUCUGAGAGGAUGAUCAGCCACACUGGAGCUGAGACACGGUCCAGACGCCUACGGGAGGCAGCAGUGGGGAAUAUUAGACAAUGGGCGCAAGCCUGAUCCAGCCAUACCGCGUGGGUGAAGAAGGCCUUCGGGUUGUAAAGCCCUUUUGUUGGGAAAGAAAAGCAGCAGGUUAAUACCCCGCUGUUCUGACGGUACCCAAAGAAUAAGCACCGGCUAACUUCGUG
rnacentral:rRNA from 1 species